rnacentral:rRNA from 1 species
UGGGGAAUUUUGGACAAUGGGGGCAACCCUGAUCCAGCCAUGCCGCGUGAGUGAAGAAGGCCUUCGGGUUGUAAAGCUCUUUCGGCGGGGACGAAACGGUUCGUGUUAACACCACGGACUAAUGACGGUACUCGCAGAAGAAGCACCGGCUAACUACGUGCCAGCAGCCGCGGUAAUACGUAGGGUGCAGGCGUUAAUCGGAAUUACUGGGCGUAAAGCGUGCGCAGGCGGCUCCUUAAGUCAGAUGUGAAAUCCCCGGGCUUAACCUGGGAACUGCGUUUGAAACUGAGGGGCUAGAGUGUGGAAGAGGGGGGUGGAAUUCCAGGUGUAGCAGUGAAAUGCGUAGAUAUGUGGAGGAACACCGAUGGCGAAGGCAGCCCCCUGGGUUAACACUGACGCUCAUGCACGAAAGCGUGGGGAGCAAACAGGAUUAGAUACCCGUGUAGUCCCUGAGCGGGCUGGCAAGGCGCAU